rnacentral:rRNA from 1 species
UACGUAGGGGCUAGCGUUGUCCGGAUUUAUUGGGCGUAAAGCGCGUGUAGGCGGCUUUGCAAGUCGGGUGUGAAAGCCCUCAGCUCAACUGAGGAAGUGCACUCGAAACUGCAAGGCUGGAGCCUGGAGAGGAAGGCGGAAUUCUCGGUGUAGAGGUGAAAUUCGUAGAUAUCGAGAGGAACACCGGUGGCGAAGGCGGCCUCUGGACAGUGACGUGACGGCUG